AUACCAAGGCGCUUGAGAGAACUCGGGUGAAGGAACUAGGCAAAAUGGUGCCGUAACUUCGGGAGAAGGCACGCUGACACGUAGGUGAAGUGAUUUACUCAUGGAGCUGAAGUCAGUCGAAGAUACCAGCUGGCUGCAACUGUUUAUUAAAAACACAGCACUGUGCAAACACGAAAGUGGACGUAUACGGUGUGACGCCUGCCCGGUGCCGGAAGGUUAAUUGAUGGGGUCAGCGCAAGCGAAGCUCCUGAUCGAAGC
rnacentral:rRNA from 1 species